GGAUGCCUACGGGGGGCAGCAGUGGGGGAUAUUGGACAAUGGGGGGAACCCUGAUCCAGCGACGCCGCGUGAGUGAAGAAGUAUUUCGGUAUGUAAAGCUCUAUCAGCAGGGAAGAAAGAAAUGACGGUACCUGACUAAGAAGCCCCGGCUAACUACGUGCCAGCAGUCGCGGUAAUACGUAGGGGGCAAGCGUUAUCCGGAUUUACUGGGUGUAAAGGGAGCGUAGACGGCAAUGCAAGUCUGGAGUGAAAGGCGGGGGCCCAACCCCCGGACUGCUCUGGAAACUGUAUAGCUGGAGUGCAGG
rnacentral:rRNA from 1 species